CUGAAUACUACCUCUCUUGGAGGCCACAGGAGCUCUUGGCACCUUCAUUCCCUCAGCUGUGAGAACAGAAGGUGUCAAUUACUGUGGAGGAAUACACAUUUGUUUGGGCUGGCUUCAGUUGUAUGUGAUAAGAGAGAGCAUGCUGACUAUAAUAUCAUAAUGUUUACUGAGUGUGGAUGAGAGGGAAGAGGAAACUGGGUGUGAUCGAUCUCCCAGAACUCUCCUGAAGUUUCAGAUGUUGAUUAUCUGUAGAGUCAACCAUGACAGCAGUAGCAUCUGCCAAGAAGACAAAGGCG